UGGGGACGUCACUAGCUGUUGGUGCUGGCCGUUAACGGUGCGUAGGUGGUUGAUUAACUUAUCUGUGAAAUUCCUGGGCUUAACCUGGGACGGUCAGAUAAUACUGGUUGACUCGAGUAUGGGAGAGGGUAGUGGAAUUUCCGGUGUAGCGGUGAAAUGCGUAGAGAUCGGAAGGAACACCAGUGGCGAAGGCGGCUACCUGGCCUAAUACUGACACUGAGGCACGAAAGCGUGGGGAGCAAACAGGAUUAGAUACCCUGGUAGUCCACGCUGUAAACGAUGUCAACUAGCUGUUGGUUAAAA
rnacentral:rRNA from 1 species